rnacentral:rRNA from 1 species
CGAGCGGAGAUGAGGUGCUUGCACCUUAUCUUAGCGGCGGACGGGUGAGUAAUGCUUAGGAAUCUGCCUAUUAGUGGGGGACAACAUUUCGAAAGGAAUGCUAAUACCGCAUACGCCCUACGGGGGAAAGCAGGGGAUCUUCGGACCUUGCGCUAAUAGAUGAGCCUAAGUCGGAUUAGCUAGUUGGUGGGGUAAAGGCCUACCAAGGCGACGAUCUGUAGCGGGUCUGAGAGGAUGAUCCGCCACACUGGGACUGAGACACGGCCCAGACUCCUACGGGAGGCAGCAGUGGGGAAUAUUGGACAAUGGGGGGAACCCUGAUCCAGCCAUGCCGCGUGUGUGAAGAAGGCCUUUUGGUUGUAAAGCACUUUAAGCGAGGAGGAGGAGCUCUAGAUUAAUACUCUAGAUGCUUGGACGUUACUCGCAGAAUAAGCACCGGCUAACUCUGUGCCAGCAGCCGCGGUAAUACAGAGGGUGCAAGCGUUAAUCGGAUUUACUGGGCGUAAAGCGUGCGUAGGUGGUCUUUUAAGUCGGAUGUGAAAUCCCUGAGCUUAACUUAGGAAUUGCAUUCGAUACUGGGAGACUAGAGUAUGGGAGAGGAUGGUAGAAUUCCAGGUGUAGCGGUGAAAUGCGUAGAGAUCUGGAGGAAUACCGAUGGCGAAGGCAGCCAUCUGGCCUAAUACUGACACUGAGGUACGAAAGCAUGGGGAGCAAACAGGAUUAGAUACCCUGGUAGUCCAUGCCGUAAACGAUGUCUACUAGCCGUUGGGGCCUUUGAGGCUUUAGUGGCGCAGCUAACGCGAUAAGUAGACCGCCUGGGGAGUACGGUCGCAAGACUAAAACUCAAAUGAAUUGACGGGGGCCCGCACAA